UUGGCAGCCCUGGGAGAGAGAGAUCCUUUAUUUAUCCACAGAACAAACACAGCAUGGGUAGCCAGGAGCGCUUUCCCCCUCCUGGCAAGGCGCCCCCGUGCUGAGCUGCAGGGACCACCUCUGAGGAUGAGAAGGGAGUUCUGUCUCCCUGCCCAGUUCAGAUCUCCGUCCCCU
rnacentral:sRNA from 1 species